AGCCCAUCCUAGCAAGGCGGCAGGAAUAUGAGGCUUCUGAAGUCAGGAGGCAGGGAGAGGGCAACAGCUCAGACCCAGCUCACUUCCUUCCUUUCCCUUUUAAUUCAGGGGAGGGCCCCAGCCUACACUCAGGGUGGCUCUUCCUCCUCAGUGAGUCCUCCCUGGAAGCAUCCUCACGGAAGUCAAGCUGGCCACGAAGACGAGCAUCCCCGCAUGUCAGUUGUCCUCCACCUGCCUCUGCACCCAGGGGCUUCAGGAAGCCAAGAAAGACAAGCGUGGGUGGAUGCUGGGAUGGUUUUCUCCUUUGCUCAUCUCAUUCAGUCAACCCUCUUUGGAAACAGUCGCUGAGAUACUCCCAGAGUGCCCUGUUUCUGAGUUGAAGAAUCCGUGAUUUGUGCACGAUUUGACCGAUCUCUGUGGAAUCCCUACGUGAAUGUUGGCAGUCUUUUAGUCUUAUGAUCAAACACCCAUUUGACUCCCUACCAAGCUAACCAUGGUGUGCGCUUCCUCUGUUGGCGCAGGUAGAAACAUCCAGGCCACACCAGUGAAAACACUUAGCAACUUGGAAGCUUCAGUACUAUGGGCUGAAUAAACUCUUUUUCAUUACAAGUUGUCUCCUUUUGGGAAUUUGUUAUGGUAUCAAAAGAACAGGACUGGUAUAAACAACAGAGAGAAUCACCCAAGCUACCAUUUGCUAAGUACAUAUGAUGAGAUCAAACUAACCUGAGGGCAUUAAACAUGCCGACUCAGUUAUUAUCCAAACACAUUUAUGUGACAGAUGGAGUCUACUCAGUUUAUGGAGGAAGAUAAGAUACAAAGAAACGGAGAGGCUUGGCUUGGGUCAGACAACCUCAGCACAUGGCAGAGAGGCGGGGCUCUCUGAGGUCAUCAGCUGGAUUCCAGGAACUUCACCUGUCCACCAGGAUGUCCUGCGACAAAGUCAGGCCUUCAGCAACCUCUUGUGAGCAGGGACUCCCAUCCACCCUCUCUGAGUCCCCGAUGAGUUCUUCUGAGCAGUUGUGCACACAGUGG
rnacentral:lncRNA from 1 species